UUCGGAUUGUUGUUCCAGAGUUAUGUUUCCCUGUAACAUCAGAAAACUAGUACUCUGUGGAUGUGAAAUAAAUUCGGGAGUGUUGGGGACUCUAUGUGAUCUACAUAAGCUGGAAGUGCUCAAGAUAAACGCAUGCAGUUUUAAAAGCGAGGAGGAGACACGCGAUGAAAAGUGGGAGGUAGCAGAGGGAGAUGAGUUCCCCUCACUGCAGUUUCUGUAUCUCGAAUUUUUGAUUCUUGUGAGUUGGAUAGCUGAUGAGACCAACUUUCCCAUACUCCACCACCUCCGUAUAGAUAACUGCAUAUAUCUAGAGAAAAUCCCUAGCGGCAUUGGAGAAAUCCCAACGCUCCAAUUAAUAGAGUUGGAUGGAUGCAGCGAAUCCGCAGUCGCCUCAGCAAAAAGCAUUGUGGAGGAACAGCAAAUUGAAUAUGACAACAACGAUCUCGAACUUCGUAUCCUAAACCCACGCUAGUGAACGCCACUUCCAAAAGUGUAAGGAGUUGGAUGCAACGCAGCCUUGUGUCCUCAUAUGGAGCUAGUGCGAGAAUGAGCCAGCGACCUUCUUCAGUCAACGAGUUCCGUUUUCUGACUCGAUGAACAUCAUUUGUGCAAGUUUUUAUAUUGUAAUAUCGUUAAAGAUUCAAGAAAAUUUCUAUAAAAUUCACCUACUUUUGUACUAAUACAUACUAGUAUAUUUCAUAAUUACUGGGUUUUCGGAGUACUCUUUUCCUCGCAGCUUAA